ACCAGUCUCUACCAGUGGUAGUGUUAUAACCAUAACCAGUCUCUACCAGUGGUAGUGUUAUAACCAGUCUCUACCAGUGGUAGUGUUAUAACCAUAACCAGUCUCUACCAGUGGUAGUGUUAUAACCAGUCUCUACCAGUGGUAGUGUUAUAACCAGUCUCUACCAGUGGUGGUGUUAUAACCACUACCAGUCUCUACCAGUGAUAGUGUUAUAACCAGUCUCUACCAGUGGUAGUAUUAUAACUAGUCUCUACCAGUGGUAGUGUUAUAACCAGUCUCUACCAGUGGUGGUGUUAUAACCACUACCAGCCUCUACCAGUGAUAGUGUUAUAACCAUUCUCUACCAGUGGUAGUGUUAUAACCAGUCUCUACCAGUGGUGGUGUUAUAACCACUACCAGUCUCUACCAGUGAUAGUGUUAUAACCAGUCUCUACCAGUGGUAGUGUUAUAACUAGUCUCUACCAGUGGUAGUGUUAUAACCAGUCUCUACCAGUGGUAGUGUUAUAACCAGUCUCUACCAGUGGUAGUGUUAUAACCAGUCUCUACCUGUGGUAGUGUUGUUAUAACCAGUCUCUCCCAGUGGUAGUGUUAUAAUCAGUCUCCACCAGUGGUAGUGUUAUAACCAGUCUCCACCAGUGGUAGGGUUGUUAUAACCAGUCUCCACCAGUGGUAGUGUUAUAACCAUUACCAGUCUCUACCAGUGGUAGUGUUAUAACCAGUCUCCAACAGUUGUAGUGUUGUUAUAACCAGUCUCCACCAGUGGUAGUGUUAUAACCAUUACCAGUCUCUACCAGUGGUAGUGUUAUAACCAUAACCAGUCUCUACCAGUGGUAGUGUUAUAACCAGUCUCUACCAGUGGUAGUGUUAUAACCAGUCCCUACCAGUGGUGGUGUCAUAACCACUACCAGUCUCUACCAGUGAUAGUGUUAUAACCAGUCUCUACCAGUGGUAGUGUUAUCACUAGUCUCUACCAGUGGUAGUGUUGUUAUAACCAGUUUCUACCAGUUGUAGUGUUGUUAUAACCAGUCUCUACCAGUGGUAGUGUUGUUAUAACCAGUCUCUACCAGUGGUAGUGUUAUAACCAGUCUCUACCAGUGGUAGUGUUAUAACCAGUCUCUACCAGUAGGUAGUGUUGUUAUAACCAGUCUCUCCCAGUGAUAGUUCAGCUGAACUGCAGUCUAAAUGUAGCUAUCUGACCUUUCCGUCCUGCUACUCCAGAAACAGCAACACCUGUUUACUUACAUUAUGCUGUAGUUGUUCAGACUUCUCUUGAUUAUUGUGGAUCCAGUGAAGAGAGAACAGAAGGUUUGUUUAUUUUGUUUAUUUUAUUUAACGAGGCAAGUCAGUUAAGAACAAACUCUUAUUUCCGAUGACGGCCUAGGAACAGUGGGUUAACUGGCCUAGGAACAGUGGGUUAACUGGCCUAGGAACAGUGGGUUAACUGGCCUAGGAACAGUGGGUUAACUGGUCUAGGAACAGUGGGUUAACUGGUCUAGGAACAGUGGGUUAACUGGC
ensembl:lncRNA